AACGAACGCUGGCGGCAUGCCUAACACAUGCAAGUCGAACGAUCCCUUCGGGGAUAGUGGCGCACGGGUGCGUAACGCGUGGGAACCUGCCCUUAGGUUCGGAAUAACUCAGAGAAAUUUGAGCUAAUACCGGAUAAUGUCUUCGGACCAAAGAUUUAUCGCCUUUGGAUGGGCCCGCGUUGGAUUAGCUAGUUGGUGGGGUAAAGGCCUACCAAGGCGACGAUCCAUAGCUGGUCUGAGAGGAUGAUCAGCCACACUGGGACUGAGACACGGGCCAGACUCCUACGGGAGGCAGCAGUGGGGAAUAUUGGACAAUGGGCGAAAGCCUGAUCCAGCAAUGCCGCGUGAGUGAUGAAGGCCUUAGGGUUGUAAAGCUCUUUUACCCGGGAUGAUAAUGACAGUACCGGGAGAAUAAGCCCCGGCUAACUCCGUG
rnacentral:rRNA from 1 species